CUAGCACUGCGUUUACAGCAUGGGUAGCCUCCACACAACAAGUUAGUACUUUUAAUAGUGGCAGUUUUCGGUGUUAAAGCUUAAUAAAAGCGAGCAAAAUGUAGCUUGAAAAGAACUUGGCACGUGUGAUAUUUAUAACUGAAGUGAUCCUGUACCAGGAACAAUGGAACAGGGUCACUACAGUAGAAAGCUGUAUAUACCAGGAACAAUGGAACAGGGUCACUAAAGUAGAAAGCUGUAUAUACCAGGAACAAUGGAACAGGGUCACUAAAGUAGAAAGCUGUAUAUACCAGGAACAAUGGAACAGAGUCACUAAAGUAGAAAGCUAGAAUUAUAACUCCUGCUGCCUAGCCAAUUUAUGUUAACUGACUCUCGAGGGGUCCGACACUGCGUGAAAUCUUUGUGAAAUCUCUGAAAUCUCGAGAUUUUGAAAUCUUGUAUGCUAAAAAUUACAGUGUCGGACCCCUCGGCUGACUCUGGGAUCCUACUCCAUGCAGGACCUGGAGCCAUACUUCUAUGAGACUCCAGGCUUCUUUGCUGUGAUCCUAAUCCACAGUGCAUAUUAAUACGGCCUGGUAUUGAUUGUAUCUGGGCGUGGCAGGAACCGGAAACAAAAGCAGAGAUUCUUUACAUUUUGUUUCCUGCUUUUUUUCUGUAAUACUAAAGGUGUACGUAGAGGCAUUUUACUCCCGUAAAAGUUACAGUAAUGUAGCUCCGUGUCAUGUUCUCAAUUUAUAGCUAGCUAGCUAGCUAUGGCAUGCAAUGCGCUGUCUUAUUUGAAGCAAGAUGGCCUCACUCUCAUGGCAGAACAGGCCCAGGCUCUCAAGCUCCUGUUUGAGGGAAGGGACGUGUUUAUCUGGUUCCCAACGGGGUAUGGCAAGUCUCUCUGCUAGAUCAGUUGCUACCCUUUUUAAUGGACUACAAGCUAGGUAGGACCAAGGCUCCUCCUAUUAACAAAAGUAUUGUUCUUGUUUCCCCUUGUAUCUCUUAUCGUGAGACUCAUGAUUGACCAGGUCAGGAGUCUAAACAAUAGAGGUGUUUCUGCUGCCAUCCUCAGUAGGCUAGCAAUAAAGGAAUCGACAAAGAUUUGGUUGCCACUGCCAAAGAAGUGUCUUCUGGGAAGUAUUUCCUGCUGUAUACUGCCCUAGAGGCUGUUGUUGAAGACCACUGUUGGAGGAUUCAUUUUUUGUUGUACCAGAGAGUCAAUGUAUUAAAAACCACGCCCAGAUCACGCCCAAAUACAAUCAAUACCAGGCCUAGUAGGAGACCUAGCGUUCAAUUGGAGAUGGAUCUGCCUGGGAUCGAGGCUAGAUCACUACAUGCACUGCAUUACAUCACUCUUUUGGUCUCUUUAUAAUCAUGUCAGCAGCCGAGGGUUUCCACUUUAGUGCUCUAGUUCAGCUGUAAUUAAUCCUGAAGUGACAAGUCAGCUGUCUUGUGCAUACGUAGCUACGUACGUCCCACGCAACGUGCAUGGCUGAUUGAAAUUUCCAUUAAACGACCGCAAACAACUUGUAUCAACUUUAAAGUGUGUAGGCUGAUUCCGGAAUUUAUACUAAGAAAACUCUUCUCCUCUGAUCCUUUGGGGGUUUUUUGGUCUUGUUUUGAGCUCACUUGCAUGUAUACUUAGCAAAUAACGUUCUCACAACAUUAAAUUGCUGAGUGAAUAGAUGAUUUGGAAUUAAAUGUUUUGAUAACCUGAACUGUUAAUUAAUUAUUCUUUAUUUCACUGUUUACGUAAGUACGACUUGGCUAUGCCAGCUGCUUGCUCAACGAUAAACAACAUUCCAAUUAUGAGUAUCCAUUACUUUCGAGUUUGAAUUGUCGAGAACAGUUAUAGCUUUUAAACGUAGGGAGUCUAUCAUGGUGUGCUCAGAUCCGUGACUGAUCAAUAUCGAUUACCGUGUAGCAUGAAAUUUUUUAUUUCGCGGAAGGGCCUCUAAAAGCAUUUCGUUGCACAAUUUCGUGGAAUGAUUGCUUACCGGAAGCCACAGCUUUAAUCUUUGCACGUUAUAGCUAAUAAUUUUUGUGGACUUAAUUUUCGUGUGGGAUUAGCGAAAAUUAUAAGCCCCUCAAAAUUUCGCGCUAUACGGUACUUCAAAGUAUAUAUUUACUCUAGGAAAAAUUAAUGACAGCUGCACAUGAGCAAUAUUAACAUUAAUCUAAAAUACCCUUUUUUACAAAUCAUCAAUUCAAGUAGGGUAUGUUAUUACAAGAACAAGUGUCAUUGUUUCACCAGCUGCACCAUUCACUACAUGCAGAUACAACAAUGAGCAUGCACAUAAGCACUCUCGCAACAAGUGCGCUACAACCCUCCACCUCUCCACUCACAAAAGAAAUGCUCAUAAUCAUCCGCAUUGUGGGUGGAGUACUUGUGCUGGUCCUUGUGAUGUUUAUCUUCGUUACUGCGAUGGCAUGCAUCAACAUGAGAAGACGACCACGUAUCUCUUCUACUCGCUCCAACAUUCAGAAACAGGCCACUGCCAAUGGUCACCAACCCAAUAUAUGAGGGAUCGCCAGUCUACGAGACAGUGGACCAACACCUAAAGUGUUUAACCAUGGAACGUCCCCACACACCCACCACACCCACUUCCACUGACCACCUCCUUAUCGAGUCCCCCUACGCCAUCACCACCAUUGACCCAAGCUACACUACUCAGAUCUCUCAACCAUUCCCAGAGCCGGAAAACUACACGAUCAUGAUCUCAGCUGGACACAAGUCAGUUAGCAGAUCGGAAUCAGAUGACGUGAGAUAUGUUCAAAAACCAGGUUCAAUGAACAUUGCUAAUACUGAAUGGUAGCUAGCUAUCGACGGAAUUUUUGAAUCAUUCGUAUCUCUGAAAUCACGGGUAUAUAAAUUACAGUUCCAUUCUUGUAAACGUUUUUUUCUGUUUCCCAAUACCCCCUAAAUACGGAUCUUAUUUGGUUGGCAUAAUAAUUGUAAAACUGUCGCACUUCACUCGUUCUUUUAUCCACAACUUUUCUGUAAACUUUCUUUUAUUACCUUUUCAUUGUUUGUAGUACAGAUGACUUUUGUGUGCUUUUUGAAGACUAAUCCAUAAAAUUAUACAAGGAAUACAAUGUAUAAA